UGUAAAGUUCAAGCUCCGAUUUGAGGGCGAACCGCGAAUGGCUCAUUAAAUCAGUCAUAAUCUACUUGAUUGUUAGAGGUUAGAUGGAUAACUGUGGUAAUUCUAGAGCUAAUACAUGCCGAGGCGCGCGACUGUGCGCGGGCAACCGCGUGGAGAAGCGCCGCGUUUAUUAGACUAAGACCAAUGUCGGCCUCGCGCCGACCUCAAAUUGGGUGACUCUGAGUAAACAACGGGUGCAAGCCCGUGAAGCCGACCUGGCGCACAACCGAGCAAUCGGGCCAGGCGAAUCAAUCGAGUGUCUGCUCUAUCAACUGUGGAUGGUAGGGUAAUUGCCUACCAUGGUGAUGACGGGUAACGGGGAGUUAGGGCUCGACUCCGGAGAACAAGCCUGAGAAACGGCUAGUAGGACUAAGGUCUGCAGCAGGCGCGAAACUUACACAAUGCUAGAUUAGCGUAUUUUAGCGAUGUAGUGAAGAAAAAUAACGAUGUGCUUGCAUUUAAACAUGCUUGCACAAUUGGAAUGAGACGACUCUAAACCGGUCAGUCGAGUAACAAAUGGAGGGCAAGUCUGGUGCCAGCAGCCGCGGUAAUUCCAGCUCCAUUAGCAUACAUUAAAGUUGUUGCGGUUAAAAAGCUCGUAGUUGAAUGUAGUGGUUGGGCUGUUGCUGGUGCGGCGUUAAGCGGUUCGCUUCGGCGGGCCGUGUCGCAGUCAGCAGCUGCGCAGCUAGUUUCGUCACUUAAUCGAGUGCGAAGCGGGGCAGGUUGAGGCGCGCGCUCGUCGCCGUCCAUCGUGCCGAGUUUACCUUGAGAAAAUUAGAGUGCUCAGAGCAGGCAGUUGGGGCCUAAAAACCCCUUUAUGCUUGAAUAAUGUUGCAUGGAAUAAUAGAAUACGGCCUCGGUUCUAUUCUGUUGGUCUUAUAGAACAACAAACAAGUUGGAGUGAUCGCUCACGCGGCCGCUAGAGCGUGUUGCCCGUCGAGACCUGUUGUGUGGGAGUCAAAUCCCAGUACCAGCUCGUGGGUAACGCAAAAAGCGUUUUAACGCGCCGCAGAUCGCUUUCCAGCUGAGGCAAUGGUUAAAAGAAAUAGUCGCGGCGGCAUCAGUACUGCAUCGUGAGAGGUGAAAUUCUUAGACCGAUGCAAGACUAACUGAAGCGAAAGCGUUUGCCGAGGAUAUUUUCAUUAAUCAAGAACGAAAGUUAGAGGUUCGAAGGCGAUCAGAUACCGCCCUAGUUCUAACCAUAAACGUUGCCAACUAGCAAUUGGGUUGCGAUUCCUUUAGUGGGCGCCUCAAAAACGCCCACCAUUAUGAUCCACCCAGCGGCUCUCGUAGGGAAACCAAAGUGUUUGGGUUCCGGGGGAAGUAUGAUUGCAAAGUUGAAACUUAAAGGAAUUGACGGAAGGGCACCACCAGGAGUGGAGCCUGCGGCUUAAUUUGACUCAACACGGGGAAACUUACUAGAUUAGAACUCUGGAAUGAUUGACAGAUUGAUAGCUCUUUCUUGAUUCAGAGGAUGGUGGUGCAUGGCCGUUCUUGAUUCGUAUUCCGAAACGUCUGCUUAAUUGCGAUAACGAGUGAGACCUCACCCAACUAACUAGUGCGCGGUUGCGAUGUUGGGGCACCAAAGGUGUUGUUGGAUUCCGGGCGAGUUGGUGGCAACAUCGGCCCGCCUGCCAGCAGCAUCGCUCUCUUCUCGACCCGUGACUUCUUAGAGGGAUAAACGGUGUUUUAGCCGUAAGAAACGAG
rnacentral:rRNA from 1 species